UACUUAGUGGCAGACGGGUGAGUAACAUGUAGGUAUCUGCCCUUUGGCCUGGAAUAACACGAGGAAACUUGUGCUAAUACCGGAUAAGUCUUUACGGAGAAAGCUUUAUGCACCAUUGGAUGAGCCUGCACUUGAUUAGUUUGUUGGUGGGGUAAUGGCCUACCAAGACUGUGAUCAAUAGCUGAUUUGAGAGGAUGAUCAGCCACAUUGGGACUGAGACACGGCCCAAACUCCUACGGGAGGCAGCAGUGGGGAAUCUUGCACAAUGGAGGAAACUCUGAUGCAGCGAUGCCGCGUGAGUGAAGAAGGCCUUUGGGUUGUAAAGCUCUUUCGUCGGGGAAGAAAAUGACUGUACCCGAAUAAGAAGGUCCGGCUAACUUCGUGCCAGCAGCCGCGGUAAUACGAAGGGACCUAGCGUAGUUCGGAAUUACUGGGCUUAAAGAGUUCGUAGGUGGUUGAAAAAGUUAGUGGUGAAAUCCCAGAGCUUAACUCUGGAACUGCCAUUAAAACUUUUCAGCUAGAGUAUGAUAGAGGAAAGCAGAAUUUCUAGUGUAGAGGUGAAAUUCGUAGAUAUUAGAAAGAAUACCAAUUGCGAAGGCAGCUUUCUGGAUCAUUACUGACACUGAGGAACGAAAGCAUGGGUAGCGAAGAGGAUUAGAUACCCUCGUAGUCCAUGCCGUAAACGAUGUGUGUUAGACG
rnacentral:rRNA from 1 species